rnacentral:rRNA from 1 species
UACGGGGGGGGCAAGCGUUGUUCGGAAUUACUGGGCGUAAAGGGCUCGUAGGCGGCCAACUAAGUCAUACGUGAAAUCCCCCGGCUUAACCGGGGAACUGCGUCUGAUACUGGAUGGCUUGAGUUCGGGAGAGGGAUGCGGAAUUCCAGGUGUAGCGGUGAAAUGCGUAGAUAUCUGGAGGAACACCGGUGGCGAAGGCGGCAUCCUGGACCAAUUCUGACGCUGAGGAGCGAAAGCCAGGGGAGCAAACGGG